GAAAUGCGAUAAGUAAUGUGAAUUGCAGAAUUCCGUGAAUCAUCGAAUCUUUGAACGCACAUUGCGCCCUCUGGUAUUCCGGGGGCAUGCCUGUCCGAGCGUCAUUGCGAACCCCUCAAGCACGGCUUGUGUGAUGGGCCCUCCCGCGUCUGGGUCGUCAAGACGGGCCCGAAAUGCAGUGGCGGCUUCGCGGUUAUCCGAUCAGCCAGAGCGUAUGGGGACUCUCUCUCUUGUCACACGCCCGCGGCGCGGACCGACGCCUGUCGACCUUUAUUCAUCUUCUCUCGGUUGACCUCGGAUCAGGUAGGGAUACCCGCUGAACUUAAGC
rnacentral:misc_RNA from 1 species